GCUGUUAAGGGUUCGUAGUUGAAUUGUGGGUGACGUAUCCGGGGUCAAGUCCUGUUCCCCGGUCCAGGAAAGCCACGAUCGUCUCCCGAGAACAUCAGAAACUAAUAUCAUGGGAACGUGCCGGCAGAUUCGCGAGCAAUGCACGCAGCCGGCCGCCCGUGUUCAUUACUGUGACUAAGAAGUGCGACCAAAGCAGUCCAUCGACAUGAAUUAGAAAGCAUGGGAUAACAAAGCAGCGCCUACGGGUUUCCGUUUGGGCUUUUGUUGGUUUUAAGGAUCUGUGGGAGAUUACGGGUCGGCCGACCGGCAUUAGGGGGUUUCUCGCCUCCGUGCUUCUGCUCUGCGUCACUACGGUGGCGUCGGGUGGCUUGCCUGACUCAGGAAUGAAGGAAAGUUGCUCGGGGGAGAACGUACUUGGCGUGAGAGGUGAAAUUCUUAGACCGCUCAAAGACGAACUACAGCGAAGGCAUUCUCCAGGAUACCUUCAUCAAUCAAGAACCAAAGUG
rnacentral:rRNA from 1 species